ACGUCGUGGAAAAUGGACUACCUUUCCCAUAAUGCAACUGGUCAUGAUCAGGAACUUCCGCGAAUUUCAAACCCCUGCUGUGUACUGGACGGAGGACGCGCGAUCUUUUGUCUUUUUGGAGUUUUAUAUAACACAGUAAGUAAAAGAAGCAACAUGCAUGACGGGGAUGAUAAAAUAAUCAAUAAGAAGUUUGAAUCUUUAAAAAUAAAUGAAUGCUGAACCCAAAGAAGCCAACCAAAGAUGAGAUGUUUUCUGUACCAAACCACAAAUCACCAUUUGCUGGUAAUCAUAACAGAUAGCCAAAAGUCAUGUACCACACUUUGUCAACAAUAAAUGUUGUUUCUGCAAUCUGGAUAAAGAAUAAUAUAUUACUGCCUCUUGGAGAACAGCCGACCGUACUCCAGACAGAGACAAAGACGUGAGGACAUCCAUUGCUUUUGUAAAGGAAUUUUAUACCCAAGAGUUAUAAAUGUUGUCUUUAUUGUUUGUCUUAAUCUUUUAUUUGACAUUUUAACAAUAUAAAGUUUACUUGUACUUGUUUUUUGUUUCUAAAAGUCAUGUACCACACUUUGUCAACAAUGCAUGUUGUUCCUGCAAUCUGGAUGAAGAAUAAUAUAUUACUGCCUCUUGGGAAAACAGCAGACUGUACUCCAGACAGAGACAAAGACAUGAAGACAUCCAUUGCUUUUAAGUCCUAUACCAGACUAUGUUGUUCCAGCUGUCUGGGUAAAGACUGAUACAUUACUGCCUCUUGGAGAACAGCAAACCAUUCUCCAGACAGAGACAAAGACAUGGACAUCAAAACAGAAAACAAA